GUGAGUCAUCGAGUCUUUGAACGCAACUUGCACCACGCAGAAAUGUGUGGUAUGUCUGUUUGAGUACGACUAACAACUGCGCUUCGGUGCGAUGUGGCCCACACGGUGGGUUGAAAAGGAGCCAGUCAGGCUGGACGGUCUGGCAGUGUGCUAGGGACUUGGUGUGGGAGUGGGGGUGCUGUGUGGAAUGGUGCAGAAGUGCAUUCAGCCCACGCUGCACAUCCCAACCCAUGCUCACGGUCUUGUCGCUGCCGGCGCCAACCAGCCAUCACCUCUAUCACGUCUCAAAUCAGGCAAGAAGACCCGCUGAACUUAAGCAUAUCAAUAAGCGGAGGA
rnacentral:rRNA from 1 species